rnacentral:rRNA from 1 species
UACAGAGGGGGCAAGCGUUGUUCGGAAUUACUGGGCGUAAAGGGCGCGUAGGCGGCCUUCUAAGUCGAACGUGAAAUCCCUGGGCUCAACCCAGGAACUGCGUCCGAUACUGGAAGGCUUGAAUCCAGGAGAGGUGAGUGGAAUUCCGAGUGUAGAGGUGAAAUUCGUAGAUAUUCGGAAGAACACCAGUGGCGAAGGCGGCUCACUGGACUGGUAUUGACGCUGAGGUGCGAAAGCGUGGGGAGCAAACAGG